rnacentral:snoRNA from 1 species
CCUGUCCAACAUGAUGAAAAUCAAUACAACAUAAGCAUAGUUCAUCUUAGGUUUACUAGACCAAUGAGGAACCAACAAGCAUUGUCUUUCGCUCCUAUCUGAUUUACACC